rnacentral:rRNA from 1 species
UACAGAGGUCCCGAGCGUUGUUCGGAUUCAUUGGGCGUAAAGGGUGCGCAGGCGGUCGAUUAAGUCGAAAGUGAAAUGUCCACGGCUCAACCGGGAAUCUGCUUCCGAUACUGGUCGACUUGAGUGCGGGAGGGGAGCGUGGAAUUCCUGGUGUAGCGGUGAAAUGCGUAGAUAUCAGGAGGAACACCUGUGGCGAAGGCGACGCUCUGGCCCGUAACUGACGCUCAUGCACGAAAGCCAGGGGAGCGAACGGG